UAACUGUUCAGUUGUACAAUCAUGCCCCUC
rnacentral:piRNA from 1 species